CUACGGGAGGCAGCAGUGGGGAAUAUUGCACAAUGGGGGAAACCCUGAUGCAGCGACGCCGCGUGAACGAUGAAGUAUUUCGGUAUGUAAAGUUCUAUCAGCAGGGAAGAUAAUGACGGUACCUGACUAAGAAGCACCGGCUAAAUACAUGCCAGCAGCCGCGGUAAUACGUAUGGUGCAAGCGUUAUCCGGAUUUACUGGGUGUAAAGGGUGCGUAGGUGGUAUGGCAAGUCAGAAGUGAAAGCACGGGGCUCAACCCCGUAACUGCUUUUGAAACUGUCAAACUAGAGUGCAGGAGAGGAAAGCGGAAUUCCUAGUGUAGCGGUGAAAUGCGUAGAUAUUAGGAGGAACACCAGUGGCGAAGGCGGCUUUCUGGACUGUAACUGACACUGAGGCACGAAAGCGUGGGGAGCAAACAGGAUUAGAUACCCUCGUAGUC
rnacentral:rRNA from 1 species